CCUACGGGUCGCACCAGUAGGGAAUCUUCCACAAUGGGCGCAAGCCUGAUGGAGCAACGCCGCGUGUGUAAUGAAGGCUUUCGGGUCGUAAAACACUGUUGUAUGGGAAGAACGGGUUUAAGAGGAAAUGCUUAAACAGUGACGGUACCAUACCAGAAAGGGACGGCUAAAUACGUGCCAGCAGCCGCGGUAAUACGUAUGUCCCGAGCGUUAUCCGGAUUUACUGGGCGUAAACCGAGCGCAGACGGUUGCUUAAGUCUGAAGUGAAAGCCCACAGCUCAACUGUGGAAUGGCUUUGGAAACUGGGCAACUUGAGUGCAGUAGAGGUAAGUGGAACUCCAUGUGUAGCGGUGGAACGCGUAGAUAUAUGGAAGAACACCAGUGGCGAAGGCGGCUUACUGGACUGCAACUGACGUUGAGGCUCGAAAGUGUGGGUAGCAAACAGGAUUAGAUACCCGCGUAGUC
rnacentral:rRNA from 1 species